rnacentral:rRNA from 1 species
AGAGUUUGAUCCUGGCUCAGAACGAACGCUGGCGGCGUGCCUAACACAUGCAAGUCGAACGUGAUUGGAAGCUUGCUUCCAUGAAAGUGGCGCACGGGUGAGUAACGCGUAGAUAAUCUACCUGAUGAUCCGGGAUAACACUUCGAAAGGGGUGCUAAUACCUGAUAAGCCCACGGGGUCUUCGGACUCUGCGGGAAAAGGGGGGGACCUUUUAGGCCUUCCGUCAUCAGAUGAGUCUGCGUACCAUUAGCUUGUUGGUGGGGUAACGGCCUACCAAGGCAACGAUGGGUAGCUGGUCUGAGAGGACGAUCAGCCACACUGGAACUGAGACACGGUCCAGACUCCUACGGGAGGCAGCAGUGGGGAAUAUUGCACAAUGGGCGCAAGCCUGAUGCAGCAACGCCGCGUGAGUGAAGAAGGCUUUCGGGUCGUAAAGCUCUGUCCUAGGGGAAGAAUAAAUGACGGUACCCUGGGAGGAAGCCCCGGCUAACUACGUGCCAGCAGCCGCGGUAAUACGUAGGGGGCAAGCGUUAUCCGGAAUCACUGGGCGUAAAGGGUGCGUAGGUGGUUCGACAAGUCAGAAGUGAAAGGCUACGGCUUAACCGUGGUAAGCUUUUGAAACUGUUGAACUUGAGUGCAGGAGAGGUAAGUGGAAUUCCUAGUGUAGCGGUGAAAUGCGUAGAUAUUAGGAGGAACACCAGUGGCGAAGGCGACUUACUGGACUGUAACUGACACUGAGGCACGAAAGCGUGGGGAGCAAACAGGAUUAGAUACCCUGGUAGUCC